UACGGAGGGUGCGAGCGUUGUCCGGAAUCAUUGGGCGUAAAGGGCGCGUAGGUGGCGGGACAAGCGUGCGGUGAAAGCUCGGGGCUCAACCCCGAGUCGGCCGUGCGAACUGUCUUGCUUGAGCACUGUAGAGGCAGGCGGAAUUCCGGGUGUAGCGGUGGAAUGCGUAGAGAUCCGGAAGAACACCGGUGGCGAAGGCGGCCUGCUGGGCAGUUGCUGACACUGAUGCGCGACAGCGUGGGGAGCAAACAGGG
rnacentral:rRNA from 1 species